rnacentral:lncRNA from 1 species
UCUUUUCUCUCUCUCGAUCUCUUCUUUUUCCCGUAGCCAACAAAGGUUUCACUAAAGGGGAGAGUAGAGGGGAGGAGGCUCAUCGACGGUGGCGGCGGCGACAUAGUGCGGCCGACGGGAUUGACGGCGAUGGUGGCUUGGCCGGCGCCGCCAAUUCCCAACAAAGCAAGUGGAAACAGUGGAAUUAAAGAGGGAGAAAGGAGGAUUUCCGAUGAUGGCAACUUGAAUGCGGCAAUCCGGUGACGGCCGGAGGUGAAGGAGAAGGGAGAGGGACGCUUCCGUGGUGGAUCAAUCAAGAGGAGGGAGGCUUAAGAAGAAGAGGCGGAAAGGGGAUAAGCUCGAUCCUUCUUGACUAAAGCAGGACUUCACCGACGUAUCUCAUCCAAACGGCCUCCAAUCGUCCUUCCCUAGCCUGCGACUCCUAUCUGAUCAUCCGCGCAACCUUAUCCCUCUCCAAGAGGUGGGUAAGCUUCCCCUGUUCUG